rnacentral:rRNA from 1 species
GAUGAACGCUAGCUACAGGCUUAACACAUGCAAGUCGAGUGACCGGCGCACGGGUGAGUAACACGUAUCCACCCUGCCCUUUACUCGAGGAUAGCCUUUCGAAAGAAAGAUUAAUACCCGAUAUAAAGGCUGGGGAUGCGUUCCAUUAGGUUGUUGGUGAGGUAACGGCUCACCAAUCCAUCGAUGGAUAGGGGUUCUGAGAGGAAGGUCACCCAGAUUGGAACUGAGACACGGUCCAAACACCUACGGGAGGAAGAAGUGAGGAAUAGUGGGCAAUGGGCGCUAGCCGGAGCCAGCCAAGUGGCGUGAAGGAGGAAGGCGGAUGGGUCGUAAACUUCUGUUAUAUAAGAAUAGGUAUUAUAUGAAUAAGGAUCGGCUAACUCCGUGCCAGCAGCCGCGGUAAUAC